UAAAAGUCGUUUAAUUUUAAUGAACUAUUUUACUUCUUGUGUGCAUUCUCAUAAUUUAGGGUAUGGUUGGAAGAACCAAUAAAAUUAAAUAUCAUGGGCCUAUGUGAGCAUUGGUUUUGAAUUAAAACAAUGUAAGGACCUGUUUGGAUGGAGUGGAGUUGACUACUAUAUCCCACUCCUUGUUUGGGUCUAGAGUUGUGUUUAAUUGGGGAUUAGAGUUAAGGUUAGAAAUAACCUCCAAACAACGCACUGUGCUUCACUCCUUCGUUUUUCUAUAGUGGUACUAUUUUGUUCUCUCGUGUCCACACCUCUGUCUCACCCUCCCUUGUCCUUCACUUCCACUAUGAUGGUCUCCUCUUACACAAAAUCACACUUUUCGUCUGCUCACGUCUUCCCUCUUUCCUUCAUGUCUUCGAUUCCAGUUGUCGAUUUUUCUUAUAGAUUUCAAAGCACAAAUUUCAAGAUUUGUUACCAUUCUCCUAUUGCAUGUUCGAUUUCUUUGGGAUUUUAGGGUUGAUCUUUGAAAUAAUGGUUUUUGUACAAUACGCUUCUCAAACCCUAAUAAAAAUAUUUUGUUCGCUCACGUCUUCCCUCUUUCUUUCGCCUCUUCCGAUUUCCUUACCACUCCAAUCGAAACCCCAACUCGUACCACUCAUUCUUCCCUUUUUCACUCAAUUCAAUUUCAUUAUUCUUCUAACCCUUCGCAGAUCUAUAGUUCCACAUGGUUGCACAGUUGGUAGACAUUUUCAUUUGGAGUGUGGUCAGGGCUGAAGGAUCUGAGCAUGGUAAGGAGGAAGAGGUCAUAGGUAAAUUUCUCAACUUUGUGUCCUCGAUGAUGCAAUCCCAAAUUCUUUUUUCAACUUUAGGAUUUAUAUUUCAAGUACUGUACGAUUUAUAUCUUGUUGAUUUUAGAUCCGUGAAUCUUUGGAGGUCAAUAUCUUUGAUUUUGUUCCCAACCUUUUGUAUUUCAAUAUCUAUGAUUAUUUUCAAUAUAUACGUCUUUGUUCUCAACUCUUUGUAUUUCAAUAUCUAUGUUUUUUUAACCUUUGGGUUGUGUUUGGUUUAUAAUUCACAUAUUUUGUAUUCCUAUCUCACUUAGGAGUCUUUAAUUUCUACUUUGACAAUAUCACGAACCUUUGGAUAGCGUUUGGUUUAUAGUUCACAUGUUUUGUAUUCCUAUCUCAUUGAGUGGUCUUUGAUUUUGUACUUUGACAAUAUCAUGAACCUUCUGGCAGUGUUUGGUUUAUAUAAUUCACAUAUUUUUUAUUUGUAUCUCAUUGGGUAAUCUUUGAUUUUCAAUUCCUACACUCUAUAGGAUAAUUUCUUUUGUCGCUUCUAACGUUUUAUUUCCUUGCUACAUCAAAUUCUCUCACCCUAUUGGUUCAACCUAAUUGAUUUAGUUAAGGGAUGAUUGUGCUUGGUGGGGAUAGAGAGUUGUGUUUGGAGAGUGGUAGGGGUGAAGUGGCAUUGUGGGUCUUGGUGGGAAUCAAAGAUAAGCUUUCUUUUCCCUUACCCAACCAAUGAUGAAGUUUUAACUCUGAAACAAAAAUAGUUAGCUUCUAAUUUACUUAUCUGUUUAGAGUUUAGUUUUAAAACGUUGUUGUCUUCUUUGUUUCUUUGUUCCCUACCCAUCCCUACCAUAUUUUUAGUAUUCAUCACUAUUAAUCAUUGUCAUAUCCCUUGUUCUUUUUGUUUUUUUGGAUAUUUUGCUUAUGUACUAUAUUAUUGUGAUUCUGCCAUAUCUUUGCCCUAUCUCGUACCCCUCUUUCUAGGAAACUUUAGUCCAAGCACAUAUUUUGAUUGUGUACCUAUUUUGAUUCUACCAUAUCCAAAAUAUUUUCUUUCACUUUAUCUCUUAUACCUUCUUUAUAUGAAACUUUAUGGCAUAUUCUAGGGAAUACUUGGUAGGUAUUGGUUGUUGUUGGAAUUCUUUCCUUUUUUUCUAGGCUUUUUCCUUGUUAGAAUCCUAGAAUAAUUAUGGAAAGAUUAUGGGAAUGUAUUCCUUAUUUUCCUAAAUCUUUUCCCUUUUUAUUCCAUUGUGUACUCUAUUUAUUCUCCCUUGUACCUAUUGCUUUAUUCAUUAGAAAAUAAUAACAACACAAACAAUCGUGGUUUUUCUCCCGGUACUUGGGUUUCCACGUAAAUUGGUGUGAACUCGUUGUCUCUCUUUUCAAUAUGGUAUCAGAGCGGGACAAUGAAAACACCCUAGAAACCCAAAAAAACCAAACCACUUAUGAAAAUCAAACAGAAGGGACAACCAUCAAUUUUAGUGCUACCGUAGCUGCUGCCAUUGAUGCUCGGAUGCGUGCUGCCAUGGACGAAUUAUUAAGCCGCUACAGAAAACGUCCAAAAAUAAUUUUUCGUCAUUACCGCAGUCGUCCGCGCCGUCACCGACGACCCACCACGCGCCUCGUAGACCACCACGCGCCUGGUUUUCUUCCUCAGAUGGCGCCGACCAUCCCAUCUGUCCAACCCUUUUCUUCGUCCGCGGCCUAUAUUGCUCCCCACGCCCCGAUUUAUGUUCUGCCAUCUAAUUCCAAUCGGCUACCACUGCUUCUGCCGUCAAAUCUGUAUGGCCAGCCACCCAAUGAUCCUAGCUACCAUCCCGAUGUUAAAAACUCUCAAAUUCACUCAACAUUUGAGGUUGGUGAAUCUUCGGCAUAUUCCAACCGUAACGUGCAAGCUUCCUCGGGAAUAGUUCAUCAACAAUUGGAAGGGCUUCGACAACAGAUAGCAGCACUUGAGGCUACCUUAGGGACGACAUCCACUCUACCGAUGUAUUUUGAGAAUCUGAUAAACUCGUUCCCUAAUGUAUCCUCUCCUUAUGUGACUAAUACAGUGACUCAGUCUUCCAUGUAUCAUCUUUCAGGAGAAAAGUUGAAUGGCAACAACUAUUUCUCAUGGUCUCAGUCAGUAAAGAUGGUCCUCGAAGGACGACAAAAAUUUAGCUUUCUGACAGGGGAAAUACCUCGCCCCCUACCGGGCGACCCACAUGAACGAUAUUGGAAGGCAGAAGACUCUAUUCUUCGAUCCAUAUUGAUCAAUAGUAUGGAACCUCAAAUUGGCAAGCCGUUAUUGUUUGCUGCAACAGCCAAGGAUAUUUGGGACACAGCCCAGACACUUUACUCAAAACGUCAGAAUGCCUCUCGUCUAUACACGCUGAGAAAGCAAGUUCAUGAAUUCAAGCAAGGAACCAUGGAUGUCACAUCCUUUUUCAAUAAGCUUUCUCUUAUAUGGCAAGAAAUGGACCUAUGCAGAGAACUAGUCUGGCGUGAUCCCACUGAUGGUGUACAGUACUCGAGAAUUGAAGAGAAUGACAGGAUUUAUGACUUUCUUGCUGGUCUUAAUCCUAAGUUUGAUGUAGUUCGAGGGCGUAUACUAGGUCAAAGACCGAUUCCCUCCUUGAUGGAAGUUUGCUCUGAAAUCCGCCUCGAGGAAGAUCGCACAAGUGCUAUGAAUAUUUCCGCAACCCCUACUAUUGACUCUGCUGCUUUUAGUGCAAGAUCUUCUAACAGUAGCAGUGACAAGCAUAAUGGAAAACCAAUUCCUGUCUGCGAGCAUUGCAAAAAACAAUGGCAUACCAAAGAACAAUGUUGGAAGUUACAUGGUCGUCCCCCAGGAAGUAAGAAACGCCCUUCCAACGACAAACAGAACACAGGGCGGGCGUAUGUGAGUGAGUCUGCUGAACCUCCUCAACAAUCCGAUCCACACAAAAACCAAACUGAUCUCAGUCUUGCCACUUUAGGUGCCAUUGUCCAAACAGGUAUACCUCAUUCCUUCGGUCUUGUUAGUAUUGAUGGGAAGAACCCCUGGAUUCUGGAUUCUGGUGCCACAGAUCAUUUGACUGGGUCCUCUGAACAUUUUGUAUCUUACAUUCCUUGUGCUGGGAACGAGACAAUUAGAAUUGCAGAUGGCUCCUUGGCCCCAUUGCUGGAAAGGGGAAGAUUUCUCCUUGUGCAGGGCUCUUCUUACAUAAUGUUUUGCAUGUGCCCAAACUAUCUUAUAAUUUGCUUUCGAUAAGCAAGAUCACUCGUGAGUUAAACUGCAAAGCAAUAUUCUUACCUGAUUCUAUCUCUUUUCAGGACUUGAGCUCGGGGAGGAUGAUUGACACUGCCCGACAUAGUAGGGGACUCUACCUCCUUGAUGACGAUACCUCUUCUAGUAGCAUUCCUAGGACUAGUCUCUUAUCUUCCUAUUUCACUACUUCUGAAAUAGGAAGUCGGUUCCCCUACUAGUCAGCCGCCUACAGUGGAACCGACUUCCUUUUUGUGAUUCCUCCUGUAGUACGUUUUCCAGGGGACUUGGUUUGUGGGUAGGACUAUGGAAUGAGGAAUGAUGUUAGACACGACACUAGGAGUGGGUUCGAUGAAUUCAAAGGUGUUGUUAGACUCUUCACUCACACUCUCCCCCUGAAGAUGGCUAACGGGAAAGUAGGGUCGAUCCUCACAGAAAGUAAACAUCCAUAGUGACAAAGUAUUUUCUGGAUGGUGGGUGAAAACAUUUAUAACCACGCUAGUGAGGGGGAUACCCAACAAACACACAUGCCUGAGCCCGAGGGGUAAAUUUGGUUUGAUUAGGGCCAAAAUUAUGGACAUAAGCGGUACACCAACAAACACACGAAGAGGAACCUCAGAAACAUGACGAGUCGAUGGGUAGGACUCCUUAAGACAAUCUAAGGGAGUUUGAAGAUGAAGAAUACGAGAAGACAUUCUAUUGAUUAAAUGAGCUGCUGUAAGAAUAGCAUCUCCCCACAAGUAUGAAGGAAGGGAAGUAGAAAGCAUAAGGGAACGGGCUACUUCCAGAAGGUGACGCUUUUUUCGCUCGGCCACUCCAUUUUGUUGAGGAGUGUAGGCGCACGAGUUUUGAUGAACAAUCCCCUACUAUGCUGGGCAGUGCCAAUCAUCCUCCCCGAGCUCAAGUCCUGAAAAGAGACAGAAUCAGGUAAGAAUAUUGCUUUGCAGUUUAACUCACGAGUGAUCUUGCUUAUCGAAAGCAAAUUAUAAGAUAGUUUGGGCACAUGCAAAACAUUAUGUAAGGAGAGCCCCGCACAAGGAAAAAUAUUCCCCUUUCCAGCAAUGGGGGCCAAGGAGCCAUCUGCAAUUCUAAUUGUCUCGUUCCCAGCACAAGGAAUGUAAGAUACAAAAUGUUCAGAGGACCCAGUCAAAUGAUCUGUGGCACCAGAAUCCAGAAUCCAGGGGUUCUUCCCAUCAAUACUAACAAGACCGAAGGAAUGAGGUAUACCUGUUUGGACAAUGGCACCUAAAGUGGCAAGACUGAGAUCAGUUUGGUUUUUGUGUGGAUCGGAUUGUUGAGGAGGUUCAGCAGACUCACUCACAUACGCCCGCCCUGUGUUCUGUUUGUCGUUGGAAGGGCGUUUCUUACUUCCUGGGGACGGCCAUGUAACUUCCAACAUUGUUCUUUGGUAUGCCAUUGUUUUUUGCAAUGCUCGCAGACAGGAAUUGGUUUUCCAUUAUGCUUGUCACUGCUACUGUUAGAAGAUCUUGCACUAAAAGCAGCGGAGUCAAUAGUAGGGGUUGCGGAAAUAUUCAUAGCACUUGUGCGAUCUUCCUCGAGGCGGAUUUCAGAGCAAACUUCCAUCAAGGAGGGAAUCGGUCUUUGACCUAGUAUACGCCCUCGAACUACAUCAAACUUAGGAUUAAGACCAGCAAGAAAGUCAUAAAUCCUGUCAUUCUCUUCAAUUCUCGAGUACUGUACACCAUCAGUGGGAUCACGCCAGACUAGUUCUCUGCAUAGGUCCAUUUCUUGCCAUAUAAGAGAAAGCUUAUUGAAAAAGGAUGUGACAUCCAUGGUUCCUUGCUUGCAUUCAUGAACUUGCUUUCUCAGCGUGUAUAGACGAGAGGCAUUCUGACGUUUUGAGUAAAGUGUCUGGGUUGUGUCCCAAAUAUCCUUGGCUGUUGCAGCAAACAAUAACGGCUUGCCAAUUUGAGGUUCCAUACUAUUGAUCAAUAUGGAUCGAAGAAUAGAGUCUUCUGCCUUCCAAUAUCGUUCAUGUGGGUCGCCCGGUAGGGGCGAGGUAUUUCCCCUGUCAGAAAGCUAAAUUUUUGUCGUCCUUCGAGGACCAUCUUUACUGACUGAGACCAUGAGAAAUAGUUGUUGCCAUUCAACUUUUCUCCUGAAAGAUGAUACAUGGAAGACUGAGCCACCGUAUUAGUCACAUAAGAAGAGGAUACAUUAGGGAACGAGUUUACCGGAUUCUCAGAAUACAUCGGUAGAGUGGAUGUCGUCCCUAAGGUAGCCUCAAGUGCUGCUAUCUGUUGUCGAAGCCCUUCCAAUUGUUGAUGAACUAUUCCCGAGGAAACUUGCACGUUACGGUUGGAAUAUGUCGAAGAUUCACCAACCUCAAAUGUUGAGUGAAUUUGAGAGUUUUUAACAUCGGGAUGGUAGAUAGGAUCAUUGGGUGGCUGGCCAUACAAAUUUGACGGCAGAAGCGGUGGUAGCUGAUUGGAAUUAGAUGGCAGAACAUAAAUCGGGGCGUGGGGAGCAAUAUAGGCCGCAGACGAAGAAAAGGGUUGGACAAAUGGGAUGGUCGGCGCCGUCUGAGGAAGAAAACCAGGCGCAUGGUGGUCCAGCGGCGACGCGUGGUGGUCCGGUGACGGCACGGACGACUGCGGUAAUGACGAAAAAUUAUUUUCGGACGUUUUCUGUAGCCGGCUUAAUAAUUUGUCCAUGGCAGCACUCAUCCGAGCAUCGAUGGCAGCAGCUACGGCAGCACUAAAAUUGAUGGUUGUCCCUUCUGUUUGAUUUUUUUUGGGUUUCUAGGGUGUUUUCAUAGUCCCGCUCUGAUACCAUAUUGAAAAGAGAGACAACGAGUUCACACCAAUUUACGUGGAAACCCGAGUACCGGGAGAAAAACCACGAUUGUUUGUUGUUAUUAUUUUCUAAUGAAUAAAACAAUAGGUACAUGGGAGAAUAAAUAGAGUACACAAUGGAAUAAAAAAGGAAAAAAAUUAGGAAAAUAAGGAAUAAGGAAAAUAAGGAAUACAUCCCCAUAAUCUUUCCAUAAUUAUUCUAGGAUUCUAACAAGGAAAAAGCCUAGAAAAAAGGAAAGAAUUCCAACAAUAUGACGAACUAACCUAUCACUAACCAACCUAUCACUCACACGUGUUUCCCCCCUUAAUAACCCUCCAUAACAAACUUAUUUAUAUGACGAACCAACCUAUCACUCACACGUGUCUCCCCCCUUAACAAACUUAUUUCCUCUCCUCUUGUACUGAUAUAAUAUUAGAGGUCUAACAGAAUCCUCACUUCGCUAAGAUGACAGAGAUUCACUCUCCUCAGCAUCUUGCAUUCAGGCUACUGCAAUAACUCCAUCCACAACAUCCAAGGAUUUCUCGGAUUCCUUUCUUGUUACACCAAAUGUCCACACGACGCCGGCAUAUACUAUGUGCACACCACAUAAUAAUAGCUCAACCUCAGAAAUAAGACCAAUAGUUUACUUACACACAAGCAUCACAGUCAUCAUAUAAGAAUCAUUCAAGUUACUCUUACAAAUAACAUAGCACUGGCAUCAUUUAAGACCAUAACAUAUAAUAAUAUACCCAACAAAAUAUGCAUACUACAAACUCAGAAGAAAUGUUUUCAAACACAACUUUCAUACAUGAAAUCAUUCGUCAUAUUCACAUGAUUAUUCUCAACGCAUUCAUAUAAUGAAAGAACACUCACACAAAACAUCCAUUAAGUAUUGAAAAUCGUUUACGUAAAAGUACUUACAAGAGAUAACAUAAAGAAUGCAUAAAUUAAGAGAUUAUUGGGUUUCUUAAAAGUUAUUUAAAAAAACUAGAUACAUAACUAAAUAAAGUAUCAAAUUCAAAGAUGAAAGAGUUAACAUACAUAAAGAAAGCUCUUCAGAUCCCUUCCUAUUGCAACAUCUCUCAAGACAACAAUGGCCCUAUUGAUCUCAACUCUCAAAGCAGAGACAAUCUCUUUCACUGGCUCCUCUGGAAUGUGAAUUUGAGGGAUGUGCGGCAUACAACAACCCCAUUAUUGGUUUCCAGCAUUCUUCAUCGUUAUGAAAAGAAUAAAAGGAACAUUUAAUAUCACUCCUCGCUGACCAAAAAUCAUAGCAAAUGCCUACAUCAAUUACUAGCUUGCUCAUUAAACAGUAUUUCGAUAAAUCUCACAAUAUCACAACCAUGUAUUAAUGAACAAGUUUCCAUCCUAUCCUAACAAUUGUAACAACAAAGAAACGGAAAAUAAAUUAGAGAGAACCAUAAGUGUCAAAAGAUCUCAAAACUCAAUGGCGUAUGUAAGCCACCCAACUCACCUCCCUUGUCCAUAGAUACAUUUUUCAUAAAAAUACAAACCAGCUUCUUUGCAAGCACAGCAAACCGUGAUUAAAACUUAUCACUAAUUGAAUGAAACCCAAUUCAAUAACAAAAACCCUAUAAGCACCAAUUAAAAAACAUGUAAGUCAUAAGUGAUCUAUAUAUAUGAUGAUGCAAACCUACUUUGUAGCAUUGGAGCAAUAAGAUAACUUUCAUAUAUUAAAAAAAUAAAUGGGCUCAAAAAAUUCCAUUUUCAUAGUACAAGAGGAAGUUUGUGAAAUCAGAAGCAGAAAAUGGAUAAUCUAAUAACUUGAACUUGAACAAAUAGAGUAUGAGGAAAAGAACAAUAAGUUUUCAAUUCGCAAAAGCUACAAAAUCAAAGAAACAACGAAUGUCAAAAUGUCAAUCUUAAAUUUAUGAGGAAAAUGGAACACAAGUAUUGUGGGAAUGGCUUGGUACCUAAACUUUAUGUUGGGCUCGAUUGAACCUCAUAUCCCCGGUCCAGACUGACAUUGAAACGUCGAACACCAACCAUGGUAACAAACUUGGUUAGAGGAAACUCUUGUUAUUUGAGAAACAUAGGGAUUGGAAAUAACUGUUGCGUCUCCAUAAAUCCUACCAGAGAGAGAGAGAGAGAGAGCUUAAACAAACUUGUCAAGUUUGCAAGAACUACAAAUUUUUUAAUUUGGCUCAAACCUCUUUUCGAGAAAGUUCUUCUGUUCAAGAGUAUAAUGAGAGCGAGAAGGAUUUGUAAGCUUUGCAGUUGUUGAACUAACUGCACAUCCUCUUAGUCUACCAAUUGAUAAAAAAGUUAUUACAUGCUUAAAGAUAUACCCAAAGCAAAGAUAUACUCAAACCUCUUUUCGAGAAAGUUCUUCUGUUCAAGAGUAUAAUGAGAGCGAGAAGGAUUUGUAAGCUUUGCAGUUGUUGAACUAACUGCAAAUCCUCUUGGUCUACCAACUGAUAAAAAAGUUAUUACAUGCUUAAAGAUAUACCCAAAGCAACAUCUUCCUAUUAUACAUUUCUUAACUAUUAGAAGGAAACAACAUUUCUUAACUAUGACGUAGGUGGUGUUGGAUUUGUUGGUACCUUCCAGAUGUACCCAAAGCAACAUCUUCCUAUUAUACACACCCAACUGGGGCACAAUAACGCUCCAGACUCGGGCAAAAUAACGCAUUGUUUGAAACAAAAGAAAAACCAGAAAAAGGUUCAAAUACCUGGCAUUGGUGACCAAAUGAAAUUUGACAAAAAAACAUUUGUGAAUUCAUCACACUCUUCGGCAUCCAUGGGUUUACACCUGAGAAGUUAAUAAAAUUAUGAGAAGCUAAUCCAAUCAAACAUGGGAGAAGCAUGUGAUAAGGGAGCGGUAAAAAAGAAUCAUCCCAUCUAAGGAAUUAGAAAAGGAAGUACGAGAAUUAAUUAAAAAAGGGAAACGAGAAUAGAAGUUACUCUUCAAGGUUCCUGUAGGAGGAGAAUAGUUUGUGCAAGUCAUCUCCAUAACCCAAUGCUGGGAUUUUCCUCACAAUCAAAUACCUGUUGAAUUUCAAAAUGAACAAGCUAAAUAUGACCAAGUGGGAAAGACAUGCAUAAAAAUGAAACAUUUAACAAGCCUAUUACUAACUGGAGUUGGACAAUGAUGUAGAAGAAAAGAAGAAGAAGACUAACCUUGAAUCAUUAGCUUCAAGUGUCUAAUAAUUGUAGAGAGACGAGCUGAUAGACAAAGAACCCACUAGUACAAAAGUGGUCUACGACGACAGUUAUUUACUGUCGUAAACGAAUUUCGCGACAGUUAUUUUCAGUCAUACAAGCGAGAGUCAUGGAAAGUCCUUCGACGACAGUUUUCGAAAACUGUCGCAAUAGGUUAUUUUAUGACAUUAAAUAAAUGUCGUUAAUCAACAUUCAACUACUUCAAAUAACUGUCAUAUUCUAUUUUAUGACAGUUAAUAACUAUCAUCAUUUCUUUAUUAACGACGGUUAAAUAAAUGUCACAAAUUCAUUUAUUGUGACAUUUAUUAAUUGUCAUGAAUAUGUUAUUCGCGACAGUUUUUUUUUUUAAAAUGUCAUUGUUUAGUUAUUGACGACAUUUUUUCCCAGCCAACGAUUGUGCAAUCGUGACAGUUUUUCGAUAACAUUAAAUGUCAUUGUUUUGCUAUUGACGACAUUUUUUUCCAGUCAAAUAUAUUGCAAUUGUGACAGUUUUUUUUGAAAAAAAAUUGUCAUUGUUUAUCUAUUGACGACAUGUUAUUCCUGUCACAUAUAGACAAUCGUAACAAUUUAUUUUGUUAAAUAACUGUCAUCGUUCUCCAAUUUACAACAACUAAUAACUAUCACAAAUUCGUUUGUUACGUCAUUUAUUUCCUGUUCCACAUUUCUCAAUUUCCUAUAGUUUUUUCCUGUUCUCCAUGCAGCUCCACCAUUACACGAACCAUUUGAAUGACAAUAAUGUAGCUGAGAAUGACAAAUUUGAAUUUAUACAAGUUUCACACCAAUGUACAAAAAAAUAGCCAACACUUUAAUAUAUAUACACUAUAAUACGAUUUAUAAUAUUUGUACAUCUUAAUACAAGUUUCAAUAAUCCACAUGUACGGAAUACUAGCCCUUAAUCAAAAAAUAUUUUAAAUAGCAUUAGAAUACAUCUAACAAGAUUUUCUGCAGAAGCAUAAACGACCCAACCGAGAAUGUUCGUUUCUGGAAAUGUUCUUUGAAAGAAAACUCAUGAAGUUGUCGACUCCAGUUGAACCUACAAAGACAACAUGAAUAUAAGUAUCCAUAACACAUACGUACAGUCAAUGAAUAACUAAAUCAAUGUCUCAACAAAAUACAGAACACAAACAAGAACUUCAACACUUGAUUCCAUGAAAUGAAAAGAGAAGCACAUGAGGACUACAUUAGGCAAACAUAGCAAACAAAAACAUACUGCUACUCUUUCUCUCUAGCUAGAAUACACAUACCAAAAACAUACCCCAUCUCACUCUCCCCUUCUCUAUUCAUUUUACUACCCCACUCAUGGUGGUCCCUCUUCAAUAAGAGUUUUGCUUGUGGGAGAUCUUUCCCUUGGGAAUAUGAGUUCUCACUUGACCAAUAAUAUACCUCAUAAUGAUAAGAAACAAAUGGUCACUGCAAGAAGAAGUGGAAGAACCAGAUUAUCAUAUUACAGAUGCCGAACAUAAUAUGGUAAUGGAUAUCAAAUCUGAUAAUGAAAAUGAAGUUCCUAAGAAGAGGAGAAAGAGAUCUAGGAGAAGAAGAACGUCCAACCAAAUGGCCACUGCAAAUUGAACAACUUCUUGGGUUGUUCCUAGUACUUAGAACAAAACAACCUACGACAAUACAUGUACGACAAUUUGUAAUCCUUAGAGUUGAACAGUUUGUAUUAGGCAAUCAUCGCAAAUAAAGAUGAACUAUGAAUAAUCAUGUACCAAUUCUCUCAAAUUAUUAAAACGAAUAGGAAGAUUACAGUAACUACUCAGGUUCACGAACAAAAAAAGUGCUACAGGGAAUGAAGGGUUCAUGUGAAAACAUACAUGUAUCGACAUACCAUUCAUUGUUGGUUUACGACAAUGUAGGUCUAUAGCGUCUUACUUGAAUGAAGUGCCCAGCAUUAUCCCAUGUGUAUGACAAAGCUGUCCAUAUUUUGGAAGACCGCAGUACUGAAUUACAAAAACCAAUUAGACAGCACAUUGCAAAAACAUACAUCUCUAAUCCUCAAUCCAUAUAUUAAACAUUCAAAGCUAGUGAACCAAGGACACAAGCAAAUAAUCACCUUCGACAGUUAUUUGAUUGCAAGAAGAUUCAUAUCCCAAUGCAGUAUGGCACCAAAUAACAAAAUUCCAUGAGCCAGUCACAUAUAUAUCGAACUCUUCAUAAGAAACCUAUAAGCAAACACACAUUCAUAUCCACUUACUUAAAAGCAAGUCACAUAUACUUAGAUGUGAUAAAAUAACCAUUCACUUACCCCUUUCAUGCUUAAGUCUGUUCAAAACAAUGUGCUUAACAUUUUCUUGUAUGUCGUUCGGGUUUAACAAAAUUAUAUUAACAAAAAAUCCCCACAAAAUACUUCAAAAAAUGUUGUUUCCUAAUCUGGUGCUAAGCACGAUGUACGUGCUUAGAAAGGAACUCCGCCAAUUCCGAUCUAACUUCAUCGAUUUCAUCUUGAGAGUACGUAGGAGGUAAAUAGAGUACGUAGGAGGUAAACUUUUCAUCUGUAAAUAAUAAAGUGGUUAAGAAUUAUUUUCAUUCCAAACAAUGACAUAAAGUGGUUUCAAAACUCUAAUACUUACGACAUCUACAAUCGAAGUACUCCUCGCAGAAAUUAUGUCCCGCAUGAAUCGCAUAACAUAGUACCUGCAUUCUACCACCCAUUUUGUUUGGGACACUGGAUGUAGAAUAUAAAAAAUACAUGUGAAACGUUUAAAUUAAUAACUUAUUUACGACUACCCUACUGGUCAAUGCCACAUACCUUAACAACCUUCCAAUUCGGUUUUUUCUUCUUUGAUAUAUUGAAUGACCUACCACAUAAUAUAAGAUUGUUACAUAAUUAAAAUAGUUGUACACAUAAUAAAGACAUUAACGACAAUAAUAUGACCUACAUUUGAAGCACUUCACUCAUGUCUCCGUCAAUCCGAUUCUUCAACGGGUCAAUCCAAUAUGCAACACCUUUGUAGGAUUAACAACGACCAAUGUCCAAUGAUUGCUAAGAACACAUUUCCACCAUUAUAAAUUAAUAUUUUAAUAGUGAAUUCAAAUCGUGAAUGCUAAUGAAAAUGUCAUUGUCAUGCGCUUACCCAGAGUUGUAUGGGAACAAUACUACUUGGUCAUACUCGGCACCGAGAAGUCGAGCAUUCAACAACUGCGCACGCGAUUGUUUGUAACUCGAGUAACUUACAGAUCCGGCAUCCAUGAACUUGAACAAGCUUGAACUUCGUCCUUGUACCAUAAUUGUGUGAAGGUACCUACACAAUGAAAUGACAUUACAAUUAAAAGGAGACCGCAACCAUCAAUGACGUAUAUAUAUUAAAAGGAAAUCUUACAUCAUGUAAGCAUCUAAGCAUGAUGUGCAUAUUGGCUGCAUUGACGAGAAAUCCCUCAGUGACUCAACCAUAAUGCAACAUUUUCUCUUCACACCGAAUAGCUCUAAAGGCGUGUUUAGUUGAAUCGAUGACCCCAUAUGUUCAACGAGUCUAACCAAACACCGGAGUGCCACUAGAGCACGUAGAUAUGCUGCCAUAGAGAAUGUGGACGGAUCCGUAUUGAAGCCCACAGUUUCCUUCUAUCACAAAAAGUUCAACUACUGUUAGUAUAAUUUGAUGCAUAAAAACUCCAACACAAUAAGACAGACAAUUACCUUAUCAUUCCUAGUAAGAACAAGAUGUCGUGGCCACAAUAAAUGUGAUCCGACUUCAUGCGUCAGUUUGGUGACUCCUUCCUUUGUCGGAUUUGGAAUCACACAUUGGCCAUCGAGGACAACAUCCACUGAUACCUUGAUGUUCUCACCGUCACCUUCAGCAUCAAAUAUUGUCCCAUGUGCAAUGAUAGUAUCUUCAGUUUCAAACGCAAGCAUACACAGAGUUCCAACCUACGUAGAAUUAUAUGUUAAAUAUGUGCACGUAAAGUUAGUCAAUACGUUUUCAGGGUUAUGUCUAACUUCUUACAAGAUUAAACACGUAUAUAGAAUUGUUGUGGAGCAGUGUGCCUUAAUUAGUAAAGUAUACUUUAAACUAACCUUCAAGUCACUUGAUCUUGUGUCCCCCACAUUUUCUUCUUUGUUCACUUCUGUCACAACGUCAGCCGCUUUAUCUGGUACUGAAUCAGAGGCUACGUCUUCAGUCUCAUCAUCUGAAACCCCUUCAACUGAUGGUGUUCCUUUCGAACACAUACUAGGGUCUUGUUCUUCUUCAUCUCCUUUCGCACACUCAUCUUUUUUCAUUUUAUGCAACUUCGCUUCUAGCUCGAUAAUUCGUUUGGCAAUUUGAUCACGUUCCUCAUACACUGUCCUCUCCUCAUUACCUUCUUUAGAUUCCAUUGGGGUAUGGAAAUAUUUUUUCUUAGUCACGUACUUCCCCACGCCUCGGAGUAUGCCCGGACGAUCUUUCCCUCCCAAUGCCUGGGUGAGAACAUCGUCACCACCAGAUAAACUACGUCCCUUCUGGUUGCCCAUUAGAUCGUCCUAAAAUAGUGCAUGAAAUGGAAAUUAAAAGAUGUGAAACCAUAGUAACAAAAAAAACAUAGAAAUUAUAAGUUGCCAAAUUUUCUCAACUUGUUAACUUACAAUGAGAUUGGCAACGUCCAUCGUCUCUUUAUCUGGGAACUCUCCCUUACGAUCCAACCGUGCAUGUUUCCAUACUAUCGAUCGAUCUAUUUGAUCUGACGAAGAAGAUGCACGCUACAUAAACAGUAUAUGUUAUAUUUGGAAUCUAACAUCAUGAAAACAAAGAACAUCUUUAAGGGCAGUUACUUACCAACUCCUCAACCAGAUUUGCAUACCCCUUGCGAGAUAUUCUAUGGUUGUAUUUGUACAGGCUCCUUUUCAGUUUACCAUCUUCACUUUUUUUCUGUAGAAAAAGUUGUAUAACCUCUAUUAAAUUAACAUAUUUGUGUAACAAAUUGUACAUAAAGUAUAAGAAAAUGUUUGGAUAUCCAUACGUACUUCAAAAUCUUCCUUCAACCGUGAAGCCACAAAUUCAUCCCAAUGGUCUUGAUCGAUGAAUGAGUAUUCCGCUGGUGGGUGUUUUAAUUUCUCCACAUCGUCCUUAAAUGGAAGUACGUACGUAGUUGUUAAUCUCGACUUGAACCCACGAUAGCAUACUCCCGCGUUUUGAAGUAUGUUUUUCUUCGACUUGGGGUCAAGAAUGAAGCCGGCCUACAAAAAAAAUAAUAAUAAAAUGUAUUAAAUCUGUUGAAGUUGGUAGUUUAACCUAAAAACACUCAAUAAGAAGCAUUUUUACCUCAAUCAAUUCAUAAAUUUUCCCCUUCAUCUCCAUUGGAACAACAUGCCAAGUAGAGUACGUGAUAGGAACGUGAAACCUUACGGUCGUUCCAAUAAAACUCUUCAACUUCGUUGCAUUCGGUCCAAUCGGUUGACCUAGUUCAUUGUACUGAAUAACCAUUCUCCGUCCCUCACUACUAAAACGUGUUAUAUCUUUCAUUCCCGUAGGGCCACGUUUCUUUUUCUGGCUACUAGUUUCCCCUCUUUGAAUGGGUGUAGCAACCUCAUCAUCAUCUGAAUGAACCAUUACUGCAAACAUACAUGUGAUUUAAAACAUAAUACAUGUGAUUUAAUUGUAAAUGUGAAAUAUGAAAUAACCAAAAAAGUGUUAACAUAACUAAACAUUAAUAAACCCUUGGUUCUCAAAGAAAAUAGGAAACAAUUCAUACAAACUUAAUUAGGCAAAAUUCACACUAAAUAUGGUAAAGCACAUAACACUUUCAAAUUAGAACAUCUACUACAUAAAAUUCUCUAAAAUUUGAAAACAAAGAAAGUAUUGAACAUGAAAAGAAAACUUGAUAACGAUACAUUCUGAAGUAGUCAUCUCUGAAAAUGGAAUAGUCCUACAAAGAAGAAAAAAACAACAAUGAUUAACUCAUUUGUGGGGAUAGUCAAUUGGUAACUCAUGUGCUUUCACAGUCAGGUCUAGCAUAUGUUUCACCACCUUCGUCAAAAUCAAAAGUUGUGUGGUAAGAAGAGAGUGGGGGAUAGUGAGGCAAGAUGUCACUUAUGUCAUCAUCAACACAUUUGUGGGGAAAUUCCUUCUCGGGUGGCAUCACAACAACCGACCAUCUUGGAUCAACAGGAUCUGUGACAUAGAAUACUUGUCUUCCGUGUGUGGCAAUAAUGAACGAAUCUGAAGGUGGCCAAUUCGACUAAGGUCCACCAGUGUGUAGUUCAGAUCGUCCUUCGAACAGCAGCAUUAUUUUCAACCCAAUUGCAUUUGAAAAGAACAACCUUAAACAUAUUGUAGUUGACUUCCCAAAUCUCUUGAAUGGUGCCAUAGAAAGACAUGUCACAGACGACCGGGUUUUUGUCCUUCGCACUUGACACUUGCAUUGUUGUUGCGACUAACAUAAUCCCACUGUUUUGCACCGUUCGGUAGUCAUCACGAGAUUUUGUGUGGUAAGACGUUCCAUUAAUUAUGUAUCCGUCGUACAUCAUUAAAGCAGGGUGGGGUCCAUGUGCAAGCCAACGUAUGGUGUUCGAGAGAACCUUCCCUUCCUGUAGUUCACUCAUCACCUAUUGAAUAGAACAAUUAGUCGUUCUAAAUAUUGAACAAUUAGAUUAAACGAAAAUAAAUUUUUGAUUGUGUACGUACCCGAUCCCUAAACCAUGCACUGAAGGAUCGAUUAUGUUCAACUUGUAGCCACUGUUCAUUUUUUGCUCUUCUGCGAUUUUCUAUCUUUAAUUGAUUGAAAUGUUGCCUACGAAAUGUUUCAUACAUUAAAUUGGUGGCUUGAGGGUAAAUUAAUGGCAGUAUAUACUCAUACGAAUGCUUACUCAACGUAUGGGUGCACUUCUCCAAUGUUCUGUAAGACAUGAAGAUGUGCUUGCUUGAGUUGUUGGACAUCGGGUCGAACGUAUGUUCCUGCUGAUAGCGGUCGAUCGCUUUGUAUUUCUGUCCUUGAAUUGAGUGACCCAAGUCCAAUAGGAUCUAAUCCAGAAAGAAAAUCUGAACAGAAUUCAACUGCCUCCUCGCAUAUGCUUGCUUCUGCAUUGCAUCCUUCCGGUCGAGCUCUACUGCGAACAUAACUUUUCAACACUUUCAUGCAUCGUUCAAAUGGGUACAUCCAUCGCAAAUAUACUGGUCCACAAAGCUUUACUUCUCUAACGAGAUGAACGACAAGGUGAACCAUGAUUGUAAAAAACGAGGGUGGGAAAUACUUCUCAAGAUUGCAUAAAGUCAGAACUAUAUCUUCUUGAAGUGCAUCAAGAUCUGAGACAGAAUUUUUUUUGGCACAAAUCGCAUUGAAGAAGAAGCACAAUCUACUAAUAGUGUACCUCACAUUCUUCGGUAGGACUGAACGUAUUGCAAUUGGAAGCAGUUGCUGCAUUAAAACAUAACAGUCGUGCGACUUAAGGCCGGUCAGUUUUAAGUCAUCCAAAGAGACACGACUACUAAUAUUUGCUGAAUAACCUUCUGGAACUUUAAUUUCUGACAAAGUCUUGCAAAAUCGAUACUUCUCUUCUUUUGACAGUGUAUAACAUGCCGCAGGGAUAUAAGUUCUAUUACCAGUAAACGUUGGUGCCAAUUCUGGUCUAAUUUUCAUAUCAACCAAGUCAAGUCUAGUAUUCAUCCCAUCCUUACUUUUUCUUGGUAUAUCAAGUAAGGUGCCCACUAUGUUCAUGCAUACAUUUUUUUCAAUAUGCAUUAUGUCUAAACAGUGUCGAACAUGCAAGUGUUUCCAAUAUGGUAGUUGAAAAAAAGCAUGUCUUCUUUUCCAAUAGUCAUUGCCACCUUCAUUAUGCACGGUCUUCCCACACUUCUUCCCUCAUGAAAAUAUCAUGUCUUUCAUCUUAAGGUACAUGGCCUUGCCGACAAGGGUUGUGGAGGAAUUCCAUGCUCUUGCUUCCCAUUAAUUAUUUUUUUUUUUUGUAAUCUGUAUGGAUGAUGUCUUGGCAAAUACUUCCUGUGUCCCAUGUAUGACAUUUUUUUUCAUGUUGCAAUCUUAUAGAAGUAGUCUCCUCUCCACAUAUUGGACAAGCCUUAUAUCCUUUCACACUAAAACCGCAUAGAUUACCGUAUGCUGGAAAAUCGUUGAUGGUCCAUAAUAAGACAGCCCGCAGUGUGAAAUAUUCUUCCUUAUAUGCAUCGAAACAACGAACUCCAUCCGUCCACAUCGUUUGUAGAUCAUCAAUUAAAGGUGCUAAGUACGUAUUGAUAUCGUAGCCCGGUUGCUUUGGACCUGAUAUUAACAUUGUCAGCAUCAAAUGUUUUCUUCUCAUACACAGCCAUGGUGGAAGGUUGUAUAUUGUAGUGAUGAUGGGCCAACAACUGUACGUCGUCGACAUAUCUCCAAAUGGGUUAAUUCCAUCAGUAGACAAACCCAAACGGAGAUUUCUCGGUUCUGACCCAAAGGUUGGCCACAUGUGGUCUAUCAACCUCCAUGAUGGAGUGUCAGCCGGGUGUCUCAAAAUACCAUCAACUUGUCUAUCUAUCGCAUGCCAACGCAAGUUCUUAGCAUUUUCAGAUCUCUUGAACAUUCUUAUAAAUCUUGGAAUUAUUGGAAAGUACCACAUCUACUUAGCAGCCACACCACUUUUUUCCUCUUUUGAGUUCUUAGCGAUCUUCCACCUUGACAAACCACACUUAGGGCACUUGGUCAACUUUUCAUAUUCUUUUCUGUACAAGCAACAAUCAUUAGGGCAUGCAUCAAUCUUUUGGUAACUCAGUCCUAGGGCACCAAGUGUUUUCUUCGCUUCGUACAAAGAACAUGGAAUUUCAUUGUUAUCAGGUAAUAAAUCACUUAUUAUGGACAGCAAUUCAGAGAAGCUAGUAUUCGUCCAACCAUACUUAACCUUCAGGUUAUACAAUCUCACGAGGGCUGAUAACUUUGUGAAUUUCUUACAUCCUGGGUAUAAGGGUUUCUUCGCGUCAUCAAACAUAGUGUCGAAGGUAUUUGAUGCAUUACAAGAUUGUUCUUGAACAGAUUGAACCAUAUUAAUUGUAUUAAAUAAAUCGUCGUUUUCAUCAGUUUCAUCCACUGUAUUUUCCAUCGUGUUGGCAACGUGAUCUGAGUUCAAUUCUUCACCAUGCCAAAACCAUACCUUGUAACUCUUAUCAAUUCCAUUGGCAUACAGAUGAUACCGAACUGUUGAGACAUCCUUAAGUAAACGAUUGCCGCAAUUCAAACAUGGACAUCUAAUUGAAUUAAGACCUUUGGCAUGACUCAACCCAAAUUUAAUGAACCUUUCGACUCCUAAAUCAUAUUCUCUUGACAUCCUAUUUUGGGUCAUCCAUGACUUGUCCAUUUUGUAGAGGUCUAAGUUGGCCUCGAAAUAAACCUGAUUACAAAAGAGAUUAUAGGCAACAACUUUUAAAACUCAAACUUUCAAAACGGUAGAUGAUCCUCAAAGUACUUAAUAAUUUAUUUCAUACCAUUUAGGAAUUUUCUAGCUGUAUUUGAAACGAUUGUGGUAGGAAAAAGCGUCACAGAUAGACACACAAAAGUAUAUUUUCCAAAAUAGAUAAUCAACAUCAAAAUUAUAUAUACUAAAGAAAAUAUUGUAACUAUAUAUACGAAGAAAAUAUCGUAAUCCACCUAUUAACACUCAAAUACCAUGAAACAUUCUCCUAAGACUUGAGUCAAUUCAGACCUCCCCUAUUGGAUUUUGUCGACUUUGACAGUUUUGAAGACUUUCGUCCCUAUUAAACGAAUCACUCGAAUGCCAUGAUGAAAAGUAAUGAAAUUUGUUACAUUAAUUUGAAAGGUUGUCUCAUUACCACAUUAGUGAUGAAACCAUCUUGAAGGAAACUUCUGGACUAGGUUCAACAACCCCCAAUUAGCAUAAAACAUUUGAAGGACAAUUUCCUUUACAGACAUGAUGAAUGAUGAAGGGAAUUAGUUGACAAAUAAUUAUAACAAUAGUUUGUCUUUAGUUAGUUGAUUAGGGUAGGUUUGUAUAAGUAGUUUGGCUUACAUUGUACAAGUAAUUAGACUAAUUUUAGAUUGUACCACAGUACACUGCCAGAAAUUAAAAUUGAAGAGAAAUUAACAGUUAGAAAACAGAAAUUGGGCAUAACUCAAUUCACAAAAUAAGCUCAUGUGGUUGCAAGAACGAAUUAAGGUCAUAUAACAGAAAAUCAACGAUUAAUGACUGAAAUUGGGAAAAACUGAAACUCACGAAACAAUCCAAUGGAGACAAAGAAGAACUUCAUAGAGAGAGAAAGAGAGAAAGAGAUAAGCUUACCGGCAGAGGGGAGGGGUAACGACCGACACCCACGAUUUGAAGCUUCGGGUUGAUUGCAGAGGUUUGGAGAAGACCGGGGUGGUGGCGACGGGUUGGUGGAGGAGGUUUGGACGGACGGGUAGGAGGGGGGUGGUGGUGGCGACGAGACUUCAAACGGUCGGAAUUGGGAGAAAAGCGAACGGUUUCGGAAUGGGAGAAAUUUUGGGCACAAUGCGAUUGCGAACGGACGGACGACCGGGCAGGAGGGGGUGCUAUUAGGGCAUACGGAUGGGAGGAAGAAAUUGGGAAGAGUUUGGGGAAAUUUAGGGCACGCGGAUGGGAGGAAGAAAUUGGGGAAAAUUUGGGGGAAAUUUAGGGCACGCGGAUGGGAGGAAGAAUUUGGGGAAAAUUUUGGGGAAUUUGGUUUUUUUUUAAAUAAAAAUAUGUAAUUUUAAUUUUUAAAAUAUAAAAUAAUAAAUUUUUUAAUGGUAACAUUCUAUGACAUUAAAUAACUGUCGCGAAAGUGUUUUCCGAAAAAUUCCGUCUUUUCCCGCCAAAAACGCAAAAUUUUCUAUUUUAUGACAGUUUUUUAUUUUCCCAUUCAUUUUUUGAGAUAUACAACUGUCAUAGUAGACAGGUUUUCUUCUAGUGACCCUAAGCAAAACCCUUGUAGACAACGAUGCGUUGCCUUGUAGAUGACGAUGGUGCCAAAGCUUCAACGUUAGCAAUUGGAUAGAGAAAAUGACGACGAGGUCAUCGGUUGAACGACAGUCGUGUGAGACAGGAUGUGGAUGGGUAUAGCAGCAAAAGAGAUGAAAGUAUUGUCGUCGUUUGGUUUGAUGCGGGGAGUUUGCUUGAGCAAAAAGAAGAAAGCGUGAAACGCUCCAAAGUCGAAAAAUAUUAGAUGGGAUAAAUUUUUCUAUUUCCCACUUUUUUGCUUUUCAAUAGCACAAUUUAAAACAAGCUAUCCUUAAGGCUAUUAAAAAACUUUUCUUCUAGUGAGUCACCCACAAAACUCUUGGUCUCAGCUCCACCUCUUCUAUGUUAAGGUAUUUUCUUUUGCCUAAAGGCUACCAUAACCAACUUCUCAGCAUUUGAAGCUCCUUUCAGCUGUCUUUUCGAGGAUGGUUUCAACUCCUUCAUUAAUCCUCCACUCUAUUUAUAGAGACCUCUUAUUUCCAAGGCCACUUUCGUGCUUUACACUUGUUUCUUUGUCAAAUCACCAUGCUAUGCAACUAACCCGAACCCGACACGUAUGUUAAAAUGCAGUAGUGAUUGGACCCUCCCUUGAGACAACAACCUUAUCUUCUUGGAAAGUCAAACUCUUUAAUUAUCUAGCUUCCUCAGACAUAACUACUUCUUCUUAUGAUGCCCAUUUUUAACGCAAUUGACCCAAACGUAUCCUUCUUUGCUUAACGCCUUUUCUAGGCUUUUACUUGUCUUAGAUAGUCCUUUUGACAAGGGUUAUUUCUUUAGAUCAGGACCUCACAACUAGUCCCUCCUUUUUGGAAUUUCGUCCUCGAAAUUCUUUGUGUAGUAACUUUAUGGUUCUCACUGUACCUUAAAAUUCAAAACUCAAAGUUUUCUUUCCCUUUUCGUACAGCGGAAUCCUUCUGCACGAAUUAUUAAAACGAGAGAAACUGCAUUCCUAUUUGCGUUGGUCCUACCCCAAUUGUGGUCUUCUCUUGGCAAUCAUAUUGAUAUUGCCCCACUUUUUCACACUUAAAACAUUCAAUUUUGUGCUUACAAGUUCCUGUGUGUCUCUUCCCACACUCAAUGCAUUUUGAUCUCUAAUCUUCAUACUAAUAUGACCCUCGAAUAAAGUAGAACUUCCCCUGCUUACUUAUCUUUUCACCAUUCCCCUUUUCUACUUCCUUACCUACCUUCAGAUUUAUUUUCUUUUUCUUCACGCUUCUUUCAUCUUCUUUAAUCAAAUACCUCUCAACUCUCAUGGCUGCCUCAAUCAACUUAGAAAUAUCUAUUCAAUUCAUACUUGUCGUCACUGGAAUUCGAAUUGUCGUUCUUAACCCUUGUUCAAAACAUCUACAAUUAUUCUCUUCGUCUACUACAAAGGUCAUUGCAUACUUUGCAAGUUUGGUGAAUUUCUUUUCAUACUCCGUGAUAGUCAUAUUGUUAUGUUCAAAUCUUAGAAAUUCUUUCCUCCUUUCAUCCACAAACGAUUGAGGAUAAAACUUCUUUUGAAAUCCUUUCCUGAAUCCUUCCUAAGAAAUAAACUAUAUUCCUCCUCCACUUGUCGCAUACAGGAUCCACCAAUCCUCAACGUUACCUUGCAACAAGAACGUUGCUAAUUUUACCUUCUUUUCUUCUAGGCAAUCCAUUACCCUAAAGCAUUUCACAACCAAGCUUAGUCACUUUUUUGCAUUAGCUCGAUUUAUGGUUCCUUAGAAAGUUGUGGCUCCCAACGCCUUUAGUCUUUCAAUACUAAAUUGCUUCUCUGAUCGUUUUAACAUUUGGGCAACGAACCCUUUCAAGAAAUGUCUCUUCACUUUCUAUCAUUGCAUUGUAAUUGACUGAAUUAGUUUCUAAGUCCAUCAUAUGCUCAAUAGUAGUCAGGGAUCUAGUUUGUUCUCUACUGGUCCAUGGUAUGAUGUCAACUUCUUUCUACAAAACAACUUAAAAUUUAGCCCAAUUCCUUCACUAGAACUUAAAAGUUAGUACUAACUCUUUAUUCCAAGAUAUAAAUAUUGCAUGGUACAUAGCUAACUGUAACAAAUCAUUUGGUUACACGAUCGAAUUUGGCUUACCUAUGCCAGGAAAUUAUGCAUUUGAAGUUAGCUCUCGCACGUUAGAAUUAUGUGGUUGAAGACAACUCUCGCAUACUAUACGGUCGAAGUCAGCUCUCACAUACUAAUGUGGCCGAAGUAAGCUCUCGUAUAUUAUACAGCCAAAGUCAACUCACACAUGAUAAUUCAUGCGACCAAAAUCAAUUUUUCACAUAAUGAAGCCAUAUGGUAAGAUUUAGCUCUCGCGUAUUUAGCGCCUGUUAUGGUGACAAUUAGUACACAACAAUAUGCUUAGUAGAAUAGAUGAUAACUUGUAGAAAAAUAAAAGUCAUUAUGGUCUUUUAGAUAAAAUAAUGUGACCAAAAUGCUAAAAAAAAUGUAUCAAAACACGUAGAUUAUGUUGUAAAUGCAUAAAUAUUUAGAAAUACAUUUUACAUAAGCAUACAUGCAUGUUUCACCCUAUUUUUAGCGUCUUAAUGCAAGCUAAAGAACAAAAGAAUAAGUCAGUGAAUCACAAAGGAGAUCCCACAAAGACUAGACGAGAAGACCACAUCAGAACGUUAGAAAAAGGUUUGCUAGAAAACAAAAGUGGUAGAUGGAGUUGAAUGUGACCUGACAAUAGAAGCAGCUUUUGGUGCGGACAUACUCAGAAUGAUAGAUUUCCCACCUAAAUCUACCUAUAAAAAAUGACUCCAUCUCUAUCAAGAAAAUAAGGUCUGAGUGGACCAUUUUAGCAGGCUUGACUAAGCCAUUUAGAACCGUGGGCCAAGCUCUAGAGAAAGGUGGAAAGGAAUAGUCUUUCUAAUGUUUAUAAAGGUGUUUCCUCAUCUUCUUCGGUCAUUUUGUAAAGUGAAAGCUUAAGGGUUGAGUGAAAAAAAUCUCAUUCCCCAUCUUUCCCUAACUUGUAAUGUCAUUCUCUAUUCACUACUACAAAAAAGGCUUUACUUGAUGCUUAAAAACUGUCAAGUAUUUGUUACUUGACGCUUUUCAAUGUGUCAAGUAAUCCAGUGUCAACAACAAGAAACAAAGACAUCACCCUCCUCCAAGCACCACAACGCUCUUAGAUAACUCCAAACUAAUCAAAGUUUCACUAAUUGUUAUCCUCAACUCCUUGAAAUCUACAAACAAAAUAAGAAUAGCAUUAAAACUAAGUACUUUACCUUCUAACUAUAGGACUAAAGAAACUAUAUAUUUGUAGUAGUGAUUCUUCCCAUUUUUGUAUUUCUUUACAUUGCAUUUGUUCCUAUUAUACAGUUCGACCUUUGUUCUUUAAUAUAAUGUAUCUUUUUACCUUUUCAACCUCUCCAUGUCUUUACUGUUCAUUUUUUGAUGUAAUUCAAAUUUGGAUUGAUUUCUCAAAAGAAUUCUCUGCCAUAUUUCAGGCUAGGAGACUGUUAUAUAUUGAUAUCUCAAGGUUGGUUACAAGUUAGUUACAAGGUUGUUUUAUUUAGUUAGUUAAUUACUGUUUUAGGAAGUUAGUUACAGCUGUACUUCUAAUUAGUUAGGGAUUUUUACUAACUAACUAGCUAUAGUUUACAUCAUUUGUCUUGUGUUAUUUGUAGUUUAGGAUCUAUGAUAGAUUCUUGAUAAGAAGCUUUGCUUAUAAUUCUUACCGCGUUAGUUGAGUUGCUUUCAUCACUUGGCCAGUGUAUAUCGUCAACUACUCGAGAAGGAAAGUAACAAGGAUAUAGCUAACGCGCACAAGAAGGAGUUUAGAGACAAACUCAAUCUUGGUGAGAUAGCUUCCAAUUUAUGUCGGGAACAAGUGUAGGUAUUACGCGCCAAGAGAUUACUACCCUUAAACACAAAGCUCUAUAAGCCUUUUAAGUGAACACUUCUAGAUAUAUACCUUAUUUAGCUAGGAUUAGUCAUUUGAAUCCCGACAAGUGAUUAAUUAUGGUGUUUAAAGACUCCAAAAGGAGCUCUCCUUAAUCAUAAGCUAGUUAGGUAAGUCAUAUCGUGUCAAGAUUUUCAUAUGGCUUAAUCGUCGAGUAGCACUAUACAUUCCCUCACCUCAUCGUUAAUGCAAGUUAGUUCACGCUUCCAUUCUCCCAACUACCUUCAUUAAAUUACAGAGUUAUCUAGUGUACAUAAGUUUGAUAUAGUUUAAACAUACACUCUCUUAUAUUGUAUAAAAUUCUUUGAUACUGCCUAAUUGAUAAGUAGACCCUAGAACUAAGCUUUGAUAUCAAUUCCCUAUGUUUGACUCUAAAUCAUCCAAGAAAACCUAUUGUUUAACUUACACUUAGGCAUCCAAUAGGAAAACUUGUACACAUAAGGAGGACUUAGAAGUAUGUGAUGAGAGAGGAUAUUGGGAGCAUUUUGCAUGUAAUGAUUUUGAAUCAAGGAAUCAUCGUGAGGAAUUAAAUAUACACAUACACUACACCAACAUAAGCAACAACAUUAUUUCUUAUGUCUCUAACCUUUGUUGCUUAGAGUUAGAUAUGCAUGACACUACAUUUUAUCUCACUAAGUCCAUGGAGUUAACCAAUUAAAUCAAGAUGUAGACAAACAGACAAGCAAUAGCUCACACGUGAAGUCAAGCGGCCAGACUACUUAGACUUAUCUAUCAGAAACCAUAUUCCCACGACCAAGCUUCAGAACUAACUUACAUCAAACUUCCUCAUCGUAGCUUCAACUUGAAUAGUUCUAACCUAUUGAGCUCUCAAUUUAUCCUCUUGAAUAAACUGUUUUAAGUUUCAACUCUUUACAUCCCAUGAAAUUUAUACUCUGAAGCUAUUGGCAACCUCUUGUCAAAUUGUUGCUCCUUCCGAAGAACUUAUGUUCUUAUACCACCUGGUCUCACACCACUUAACCUUGCCUUAAGCUUUUGUUCUUCUUCUCUGAAGAAACAUAUGCUCUGAUACCACCUGUCACGCCUCGUCCCAAAAAGUUGUUGCUCUUAUGCUCCGAUAUACCUUUAUCGCGUACUUCUCGCGAGGCAACGCAUUAAACGUCUAGUAAGAGAAAUAACUUAUCUCUUUUUGCACAUCUUAAACGUCAACUUCCUUUAAAUGAGGAAGCGGGAUGCAACAAAAUAAGCCUUUUAUUAAUUAUCAAAUUAUGUGAUAGACAGAGAUAAUACAGCGGAAUAAGUACAAAACUUCACUUUAUUAACUUAACACUUUUAUAGAAUGCACUUUAGACUUUUCCUUACAACAAACUAAACUUGACAUAAUGUUAGACCCUUCUUGCCUAACACAACUUUUCUGACUGCAACACCUAGCUUACUGACCUCAUCGUGUAGCAAUGCACACCUUACGUCUUUCUUGCUACCCAAUGCUUCUCCUUAAGGCUGGGUGCUUCGAGGGUGAAGACUCCACUUCUUCCAUUACCUCAGAUGUACAAUGACCCAUCCAAAGAACAAUGCUUAGGGCUUCCUUUCCUUGACUAAAUCCUUUGGUUCUCUCACCUCCUGGGGUAGUCCUUACCAACCGUGGUGUGAUACUCGUCUUUCCCCAAAAUGGAGCCUUUUGCGUUAAGAAGCAAUCCGCUUUCCAACCAGCUCCUUAGACGCAAGGUAAGAUGACACGGCCCUUAUGCCGCAUAAAUCCACACAAGUCAUCAUAGAUAGUAAAUAAAAUCCAUUAACCUUUAUUAAUAAAAUGUUACUAUUAUUAUUUCAAUAAGUGUUAUUGUUUUUAUUAUUAGUUUUGUCUUAAUAACCUAAAUCCAAUAACCUAACACCCUAAUCUGCUUGAUGAUUCUUGAACAAGAUGUAGAGACAUACAGGGAUCAAUAUUCGAGAUAAGCUUAAAGGGUCUAUAGUAUAGGAAUAAGGUUGGAUACCUUAUCCUAGUAACACUAUGGAUAAGGCUCACUUUGUACUUGAUACAAAUGCAAUGAUCCAACGUGUUCGCGUAGGUGACAUGCGAGUGAGGGUAUCCUAUGCAAUGAGUUUGCAUCAAACUAUACCAUGAAAUAGUAACCAGUAGAUGUAACUCUGUCAACGAAUUGAGUUUCUAUUUCAUUAGGAUGACCUAGGUAACUUAGUCUUAAUCGUGAGUGUAUUAUCAACUCCUGUUUGUAAGAGAUUGCCCUUUGAUUUGUACGGAUGAUAGUGGCUAGAUUGCCGACUUAAUAUCCUUAUCAUUUUUAGGAUAAGACCGAGUGGAAAGCUGAAAACAUAAUCCCACAAGAUGGAAUUGACUCCUCCUCAACUUUAGGGUAAGUGGAUGAGUUGUCCCUUAAAUGGUAUCUUCGGGACUU
rnacentral:lncRNA from 1 species